rnacentral:rRNA from 1 species
GACGAACGCUGGCGGCGUGCUUAACACAUGCAAGUCGAACGGAAAGGCCCUGCUUUUGUGGGGUGCUCGAGUGGCGAACGGGUGAGUAACACGUGAGUAACCUGCCCUUGACUUUGGGAUAACUUCAGGAAACUGGGGCUAAUACCGGAUAGAAGCUCCUGCUGCAUGGUGGGGGUUGGAAAGUUUCGGCGGUUGGGGAUGGACUCGCGGCUUAUCAGCUUGUUGGUGGGGUAGUGGCUUACCAAGGCUUUGACGGGUAGCCGGCCUGAGAGGGUGACCGGCCACAUUGGGACUGAGAUACGGCCCAGACUCCUACGGGAGGCAGCAGGGGGGAGUAUUGCACAAUGGGCGGAAGCCUGAUGCAGCAACGCCGCGUGCGGGAUGACGGCCUUCUGGUUGUAAACCGCUUUCGCCUGUGACGAAGCGUGAGUGACGGUAAUGGGUAAAGAAGCACCGGCUAACUACGUG